AGUUAGCUUGGGACUACUGGAAAAAGAAGACUUGGCAGCGCGGAAUGUGGGGGGCCCUGUGAGCUGUGCCCCCCAACCCCGUCUGCCCAGCCCGGCCGCAGCCCCAGUUCUCGCCUUGGGCGGGCAGCUGGGCGGGUCUGAGACCCCUGGGACUCAUCUGCACGGUGCAAACAGCUGCUUUGGCAACUGAAAUUUAAGAUCAACUGGGAAGUAAACACAGAGCCGCUCCCACCCAAAGGGUAACUGUUCUCCAGGCGGCAGCCCUGGCUUUGGGG
rnacentral:lncRNA from 1 species